GUAGGGAAUAUUGGACAAUGGGCGAGAGCCUGAUCCAGCCAUGCCGCGUGCAGGAAGAAGGCCCUCUGGGUUGUAAACUGCUUUUGACAGGGGCCAAAAUAUCCAUGCGUGGAGAAUUGAGAGUACCUGUAGAAUAAGCACCGGCUAACUCCGUGCCAGCAGCCGCGGUAAUACGGAGGGUGCAAGCGUUGUCCGGAUUUAUUGGGUUUAAAGGGUGCGUAGGUGGCCUUAUAAGUCAGUGGUGAAAGCCUGCAGCUUAACUGUAGGACUGCCAUUGAUACUGUAGGGCUUGAGUACUGAUGAGGUAGGCGGAAUUGAUAGUGUAGCGGUGAAAUGCAUAGAUAUUAUCAAGAACACCGAUUGCGAAGGCAGCUUACUAAGGAGUUACUGACACUGAGGCACGAAAGCGUGGGGAUCAAACAGGAUUAGAUACCCCUGUAGUCC
rnacentral:rRNA from 1 species